GUUAAGUGAGAUAUAGUUUUUAUUUUGUGGUAAUUUUAUGUGCCAGCUGAAACCGGCCUCUGGGUGCAAAAUUUCACAGUGUUGAAGACCCACUGGUGGCUUUGGGCUGUUUUCUGCUGUUUGGUUGGGUUGUUGUCUAUUUGACAUAUUCACAGUUUCCAUUUUCUAUUUCAUUCUUUUCCAAAUAAAUAAUUUUUGAUUGGAAAAGAGGAAAAAAUAUUUCAACUGGAAACAUAUCACAAUUCAACUUGGUCAGUUAUCAAAUUUCUUUGGAACAAGACUUUAUAAAUGAUCUUCAUUGCCAACCAAGUAUUUAUUUGCCGUGAAAUUUGUCACAAAACACUUAGAAAAUUUGUUUAUGAUAUUAUAUUUUUUUCCCGUUAUUAAUUAACAUAUAGUGAUAGGUUUGAUAUUUUACACAGGAAAUUCAAUGAUUAGGCUUAUGUGCAUACUUU
rnacentral:lncRNA from 1 species